UACGUAGGGGGCAAGCGUUGUCCGGAAUCAUUGGGCGUAAAGCGCGCGUAGGCGGCCCGGUAAGUCCGUUGUGAAAGUCAAAGGCUCAACCUUUGAAUGCCGAUGGAUACUGCCGGGCUGGAGUCCGGAAGAGGCGAGUGGAAUUCCUGGUGUAGCGGUGGAAUGCGCAGAUAUCAGGAGGAACACCAAUAGCGAAGGCAGCUCGCUGGGACGGUACUGACGCUGAGGCGCGAAAGCGUGGGGAGCGAACAGG
rnacentral:rRNA from 1 species